CGCGCCGGGCGGGGGAGCGAGAGGCGCGGGGACUGGGUGUCAGACCUCGAGCCUCGACGGCCCUGAAGUCAUAGUGUUUGUACAAAGUGGUGGCACCAGACCAGGAGGAGCUGAGAGCGAGAUUCCGAGGUGGGGGGAAUGGGGCUGCGCUGUAAGUGACCGAGUGAGACUCCCGAUAUUUAAUUUAGCUUUUUUCAGAAGGAAAAGAAAAAACAAUAAUGAGCCUCGGAGAUGCUCCUUCUGCAUUAACCAGCUAUCGACCUGUCUGCGUCGGACUGCGGGCGGCGAGAAAGAGGACAGGGAAGGGCCAGGCGGCUCUUAGGGACUCAGUCACGCCGGCGGGUGGGGGGGGGGGGCGCCCACAGCCCAGGGGAUGAACCUCCAGACCGAGACGUGCACCCAAGAACCUCGCAUAUUAGAUCCCUCCAGGCUCCCCAGGCCUCGAGCAGAAGCGGCCUCCUGGCUACCCUACUUUCCAAUUGAGAACAGCCCUGGUCUGUCCGGGCCAUCUGCGCGCCACGUCGAGACUCAGCGUCCCAGGCAGCCGCGUCCCAACGUGGCGCUGGUCCCCCAACUCGACAGGUCCAGUGGAGCCCGGCUGUGGGCUGAACUCGAGGGUCCGAGGGCAGCUGAACCUUUUCCAGGGAUUUUUAAUCCAACAGAUUAAAUGGGUCAGAGUGACACACUCGCACAGGGAAGAAAAGCAGGUGCACAGAAGUAGAUUUGGGAAAGUCGCGCGCACGAACGCGCUUCACGCAGAAGCUUCUCCAUCAUCUUGCCUUCUUUCAACAUUCCCAGCGCACAAAGCGCUUUGGAGACUGACUGCAGGCCCUCUCAAUGCAGCCCAGGGAGCGGGGAGUGUUCGGAGAGGGUGUCUGUCCAUCGCACACGCUUGGCGCGCGUGCGCCGGAUGCGCACCGGGAACGGCUGCCCGACGUGUGCCCAGGGCCCGCGGCCCGCCAGGUUCUGGGGGCUGCGCCUCGCACUUCACAAGAGGGGAGUCACCAGGCCCGCUUCCUGCCCCCUCCUCGCCCAGCCUCACGGUGCUCACACGUCCCCGUCGAGGGGAGCCGCGGCAGCCCUCGGACUCCCAGCCCCGGCUCAUCUUCUAUCCUUCCCUCCCAGGCCCUAAGUCCCCGGGCUGCGGUGCGGGCCGGCGAUCUCUGAGCUUCCUGCAGGCGCUGCGGCGCGCGCUCCCACCGUUCCCUCCCCCUCGCGCUCGGGUUACAGGUUAAUGAAAUGCUCGUUUUCCUCAGUCAUUUGUUUUGUUUUCCUGCAAAGUUCUGAUAAGUAGCUAACCAACGAAGCUUGUAAUUACAAUCUUACAGAAACCGGGCCGAUCUGUAUAUAAAUCUCACCAUCCAAUUACAAGAUGUAAUAAUUUUGCACUCAAGCUGGUAAUGAGGUCUAAUACUCGUGCAUGCGAUAAUCCCCUCUGGAUGCUGGCUUGAUCAGAUGUUGGCUUUGUAAUUAGACGGGCAGAAAAUCAUUAUUUCAUGUUCAAAUAGAAAAUGAGGUUGGUGGGAAGUUAAUUUCUCUCCGCUCUGUGAAGCGUAGACAAGAAUUUAAUGAUUUAAUUACAGUUGUAAGCCCUUUCCAUGAGACUUAAAUUGAGCUGAGAAUAUUUUUUUUCCUUCUCUCUCCCUCUCUCCCACUUUCGCGUUCUCUUUCUCCGCUAUUAGCAGCCGCGGACUCCUGAGAGCGUGGCCUGGCGUCCGCACAGGGUGGAAUUCGUAUUUGGCCAGGAAUCCGGACUCCGAUCAUCCCAGGAGACGCGGACCGGGGGCCUCCAGAGCUCUCCGGAGCGUGCUGCCGCUCCCCACCAGCCACCAGGGACUCGGAGGCCCUUCCUGGGUCCGGAGAAGCGACGGGGACACUUAGGGGAAAACUUUGCCAACUUCGCUCUUGGCGCGGAAGAGGCCGCUGGCCGGAAUGGUGCAGCAGCGGCGGCGGGCCGCGACGCGCAGGGUGGGCCCCGGGCCAGUGCUGGGCACCCUGGAGCGCGUCGGGAUGCCCAAAGUGGGGCGUGAGGCCGGUGGGCUCUUUGCUCCUCCGCUUCGCCCCUGCGCCUCCCGCGACCCGUCUCACUUCCCUGCGUCUCUGAGCGGCCCGAGAGGCGCAGCGCUCAGAGUGGCCUUGAUGGAAGAACCUGGCCCUCGGCGGGAACGAUUUUCUUUUGCUUUACCUCUUCUGGAUCAGCCGUUUUCCACCUGACUUGAGCAGCCCCCUCCCCCAUGCCUUUUUUUUCUCGUUCCCUCCGUCUGUCCUCACAAUUUCCUCUAUCUUCGAUUUCUAGAUCAUUCGCUUUUCUUCUCUUUCCUCCGCUUCCUCAUUGUGCUGUUUUUAUGCCUUUGCCCUGGACCACUUUUCAGUUCACUUUUCUCCCUUCUGCUCCCUCCCUCACCCCCUUCUUAAUGUCUCUUUUUUCCUCGCCCUGAGUCUGUGACUGUGUCCCUUUCCCCCAUCUGCAGUUGCCGUUUUUGAUUUUCUUUCUUUCCUCCCCACUUCCAUCCGGAUCCUCUCCUAUUUCCUCCUUGGAUUUCUGUCUCUCAGGUUCUGUCUCUCAGGUUCUCCUCUCCGUAAAUAUUCUCUCCUCUCCCUCUCCGGGAUCCGUCCCCUCCCCCACGUGGAUCUGCCUCCCCGGCGCCCCCUCCUCAUUCAUCCUGGGAGAUGAAUUUGUCGCCUUAUUGGACGCCGAGGCCAGAGCCGUGUGAGGGGGCUCGGCCAGCGCUGUGCAUUUUCUUCAUGCAUAUUGAGGAGAUGGUAAUGAGCGCGUUUGCAUUGUUGCUUGGAAAUGUUGUGUUUCCUGCCGCAGUUCGCAGUUCGGAGUGGGCGAGGGUGGUGUGGGCCCAGGACAGCCCCUCAGUAGGCACCCGGCCUGGCGGCCGCCGCUGACCCUCUCCGGAUUCCCGGGCUCUGGGGGCCGGGGGAGGAAGCGACCUUGCCGAGCUCCUGACCCGGCCGCCGCCUCCUCCUCCGGUUUGUCCACAAAGGCCGUCGCGCUCCCCUCAUUAAAGCCUCGUUACAGGAACCCCCGGCUGGCUCGCGACGGCUCCUCCGAGCCCCCCUGCCCACCGGCCUCUGAGCCCCUCCCCUGAUUUGAGAGGCCUGUGAUGGAGCGCCACCAGAAAAUUAGUGCCUGACAACGUCGUCUAUUGGCAAUAAAUUGAGAUUCCAAGUGACACGUCGCGGGAUCAAACACAGCCACAUUGUUGUGUACCCUGCUCCGCUCGCUCCUCGUUAAUCUUGGAGGGCGCCUUGGCAUCGCUUGGCCAGGGGAGGUUGUAGGCAGGCCUUUCGGCUGUCAGGACUCGGAUCCUGCCUCUGCCCUGGCUGAGCCCACUUCAGUCAUUCAGGAGGGACUGACUGCCCCUCCCUGAUAAGGUCCAAGGCGCUCAGGAGGCGUGACCCAGGAACGCCUUUCAAUAAGCUGAAGGUUUAUUAAAGUCAGGAGCUUCGAGGGGCAAACUCUGAGUUAAGCUUGUGGGGAAUCGACGUGAGCCUUGCUGGGAAUUCAGAACAUCAAGGUCUGGCCUUGUCUGGAAUUGUCUGGUGUCGAGUUUCCCAAACUUCAAGCUUCCCGCUACUACCUUUAUUAUUUACUUAACAUUUUUCCUUAAAUUGACUCAUUUUUAAAAUCAAAGUACAUAUUUUUGGAAAGAAAAUCUGAUACUACCACUGUAAAUUGAAAAGUAGCUGUUACUCACCAGAAAAGGAAGUGGUAAAAGAUAAACACAGCUAAAACCAAGCAAUGUUAAUACAUGUUAGCCGUUUUGCUGGCUUGGAAAGACUCCUAGAGGCUCAGCUGUGAUGCCACGAGAAUACUCAGAUAGCACACGGACAGGCCCACAUGGCAAUGAAUUGCAACUUGCCAGCAACCAUGUGGGUUAGCUUGAAGUGAAUUCUCUAGUCCUGUGUCUUCAGGUGACUGUAGCCCUGGCUGACCAUGUGACUGAACCUGAGGAGAAGCUGAGCCAAAGGCACACAGAUAAGCUGCACCUGGAUUCCUGACUACAGAAACUGUGAAGUAAUAAAUGUUUGCUGUUCAAAGCCAAGGGUUGGCAAAAUAUAUUCCACUUGUUUCUGUAAAUAAAGUUUUACUGGAACACGGUAAUGUUCACUAAUGUGCCUAUUGUUAUGGCUGCUUUCAUACUUCAACAGUAGUAGCUAUUGAGUAGUUGCAGCAAAAGACUAUAUGUCCACAGGACUAAAAUAUUUACUAUGUGGCCCUU
rnacentral:lncRNA from 1 species